GACGAACGCUGGCGGCACGCCUAACACAUGCAAGUCGAACGGACUUACAAGAGCUUGCUUUUUUAAGUUAGUGGCGGACGGGUGAGUAACACGUGAGCAAACUGCCUCUGAGAGGGGGAUAGCUUCUGGAAACGGAUGGUCAUACCCCAUAAAAUAUAAAUAUCGCAUGAUAGAUAUAUCAAAGAAAUUCGCUCAGAGAUGGGCUCGCGUCUGAUUAGAUAGUUGGUGAGGUAACGGCUCACCAAGUCGACGAUCAGUAGCCUGACUGAGAGGUUGAACGGCCACAUUGAGACUGAGACACGGCCCAGACUCCUACGGGAGGCAGCAGUGGGGAAUAUUGCACAAUGGAGUGAACUCUGAUGCAGCGAUGCCGCGUGGAGGAAGAAGGUUUUCGGAUUGUAAAGUCCUUGUAUCAGGGACGAUAAUGACGGUACCUGAAGAAAAAGCUCCGGCUAACUACGUG
rnacentral:rRNA from 1 species